rnacentral:lncRNA from 1 species
AAGGAGCUGAUGGACUUCCGGAAGUUGCUGAAAAAGAGGGCCCCACCAGCCCCCAAGAAAAAGAUGGACCUUGAGCAGAUAUGGCAGCUGCUGAUGACAGCAGACAGGAAGGACUACGAGAAGAUCUGCUUGAAGUAUGGCAUCGUCGACUACCGUGGCAUGUUGCGUAGGCUGCAGGAGAUGAAGAAGGAACAGGAGGACAAGAUGGCACAGUACAUCAACGCCCUCUCCAGCUUAAGACACAUCAGGGUCACCAAGGAUGGGAUUGCAAAGUUUGACUUGGAGCUGGAUCUC